UAUCCGCCCGGGUACUACGAGCGUUAGCUUAAAACCCAAAGGACUUGGCGGUGCUUUAGAUCCACCUAGAGGAGCCUGUUCUAGAACCGAUAAUCCCCGUUAAACCUCACCUUUCCUUGUCUUUUCCCGCCUAUAUACCGCCGUCGUCAGCUUACUCUGUGAAGAGUUAGUAGUAAGCACAAUUGGCACAGCCUAAAACGCCAGGUCGAGGUGUAGCGAAUGGAGAGGGAAGAAAUGGGCUACAUUCAGUACUAAUACUGAAUACGAAUGACGUUCUGAAAUUGGACGUCUGAAGGAGGAUUUAGUAGUAAGUAGGGAAUAGAGUGCCCUGCUGAAAUUGGCCCUGAAGCGCGUACACACCGCCCGUCACUCUCCCCGAGCUAAUUGACCCUACAUUUCUAAUAAGCUAGAACUGCUAAGGGGAGGCAAGUCGUAACAUGGUAAGCGUACCGGAAGGUGCGCUUGGAAAAACUCAGAGCAUAGUUAAAUAACGUAUAACAUUUCCCUUACACUGAAAAAACACCCGUGCAACCCGGGUUGCCCUGAAACCCAAUAGCUAGCCCAACCCCCUAAACCAAAUAAAUCAACAUCAAUAACCCCUCAUGCACUAAGCAAAACCAAACAAACCAUUUUUCCCUCUUAGUAUGGGCGACAGAAAAGAGACUUACGGCGCAAUAAAGAAAGUACCGCAAGGGAAAGCUGAAAGAGAAAUG
rnacentral:rRNA from 1 species